CGUGACGACAUCAGCUGAGAUAUGCAGUGGAUUUAAUUGCAAUAAUCAGACAUUCUUUAAAGAAAAUAGGGAUAAGAUAAGAGACAAGGCAUUGCUUAUCCCUAUUACGAGAAUAUGAGGACAUUAUUACAGAAAAUAAUGGAAGAGUGAGACGAUAUCCGCCAGCUCCCUAGAUCCAUCACUGCAGUGCAUUCAGCCCAGCAGUCAAGAGAUCCAGGCUUGAAGUAUAAAUAAAUACAAAAUGCAUCCAUUUCUCCACAGGCUAUUUCUAAAGAAUACGACCAAUGGAAUCAUUCAUGAUCAGGCAGCAAGUUAAUCCAUCAUGUAAGGAAAAUGAAUUGAUUUCAUCCACAAGAACAUGAAGUGAUGGAAAAAAUUUGCAGCUGCCCAGCAUUCCUUGUACAGUCUAUCUUAAUUUGAAAAGCUGUUUAUGAAAUAAAAUUUCUUCAUGAA